rnacentral:rRNA from 1 species
UAUGAACGCUGGCGGGGUGCURACACAUGCAAKUCRAGCGGGAAAUAUCGGACUGAGAUUUCGGUUGAGGAAAGAUAUGGAGAGSGGCGRACGGGUGAGUCACGCGUAGGCAACCUGCCCCGUACAGGGGGAUAGCCUCGGGAAACCGGGAUUAAAACCCCAUAACGCGCAUAAUACACAUGUAGAAUGCGCCAAAGAUUUAUCGGUACGGGAUGGGCCUGCGUCUGAUUAGUCAGUUGGCGGGGUAACGGCCCACCAAGGCGACGAUCAGUAGCCGACCUGAGAGGGUGAUCGGCCACAUUGGAACUGAGACACGGUCCAAACUCCUACGGGAGGCAGCAGUGGGGAAUAUUGCACAAUGGGCGCAAGCCUGAUGCAGCAACGCCGCGUGAGCGAAGAAGGCCUUUGGGUCGUAAAGCUCUGUCCUUGGGGAAGAACAAAAUGACGGUACCCGAGGAGGAAGCCCCGGCUAACUACGUGCCAGCAGCCGCGGUAAUACGUAGGGGGCGAGCGUUAUCCGGAAUUAUUGGGCGUAAAGGGUGCGCAGGUGGUUUGGUAAGCGCGGGGUUUAAUGCAGAGGCUCAACUUUUGAGAGCCCCGUGAACUGCUUAACUUGAGUGCAGGAGAGGGAAGCGGAAUUCCUGGUGUAGCGGUGAAAUGCGUAGAUAUCAGGAGGAACACCGGUGGCGAAGGCGGUUUCCCGGACUGUAACUGACACUGAGGCACGAAAGCGUGGGGAGCAAACAGGAUUAGAUACCCUGGUAGUCCACGCCGUAAACGAUGAGCACUAGGUGUCSGGGCCGUAAGGCCUCGGUGCCGGAGUUAACGCAUUAAGUGCUCCGCCUGGCGAGUACGUACGCMAGU